rnacentral:tRNA from 1 species
UAAUUAGCUCAGUCGGUAGAGCACUCGGCUGUUAACCGAUAGGUCGUAGGUUCGAGUCCUACAUC